GAGUUUGAUCCUGGCUCAAGAUGAACGCUAGCUACAGGCUUAACACAUGCAAGUCGAGGGGAAACGACAUCGAAAGCUUGCUUUUGAUGGGCGUCGACCGGCGCACGGGUGAGUAACGCGUAUCCAACCUGCCCACCACUUGGGGAUAACCUCGCGAAAGUAAGACUAAUACCCAAUGACGUCUCUAGAAGACAUCUGAAGGAGAUUAAAGAUUUAUCGGUGAUGGAUGGGGAUGCGUCUGAUUAGCUUGUUGGCGGGGUAACGGCCACCAAGGCGACGAUCAGUAGGGGUUCUGAGAGGAAGGUCCCCCANAUUGGAACUGAGACACGGUCCAAACUCCUACGGGAGCA
rnacentral:rRNA from 1 species